CACUUCAGCCAAAGAGGGUAAAACAGUAAAAACAUAACUUUUAUUCCCACCCCAAUAAUUCCACGGUUGUACACCAAUGUUAUAAAUUUAUGCGACUGUCCAGAAAUUUUUAACAAAAGAGCUGUGUGGGUUAGGAGAAGGUAUUUCCAUUCUCUAAUUAAGCGAUAAUCAGAUCCAAACUCUUAACCCUAGAAAAUCAACCAUGUCUUCUAAGCAAGGUGGAAAGGCAAAGCCUUUGAAGGCCCCAAAGAGUGAAAAGAAGGAAUACGACGAGAAUGACAAGGCUUUCCUUGCAAAGAAGAAGGAAGAGGAAAAGGCACUAAAGGAGCUCAAGGCAAAGGCUGCGAAAGGCUCCAUUGGUGGUGCUGGCCUGAAAAAGAGCGGAAAGAAAUGAGAAUGUUAUAUUCUUCCUCCUAGUAUUGGGAUCUUCUUUUCUCGCCCAUGGCUAGAUUUGGUGUUAUAAGCUUUUGUUAACUUUUGGGAUGUCUCUAUGGUGACUCAAUGAAUUAGUAUGGGGUACUUGCUCCUUUCCAAUAUAAUGACUUGUAUUGUGGUGCCUUUCCCUAUCAAUAAUUCAUAUAGUCGUUAAUCUUUGUGUGA